rnacentral:rRNA from 1 species
CUAACACAUGCAAGUCGAGCGGAAACGGCAGUAUUGAAGCUUCGGUGGAUUACUGGACGUCGAGCGGCGGACGGGUGAGUAACGGCUGGGAACCUGCCCUAGACGAGGGGGAUAACCGUUGGAAACGACGGCUAAUACCGCAUAAUGUCUUAGUUCGAUUACGAGCUGGGACCAAAGGUGGCCUCUACAUGUAAGCUAUCGCGUUGGGAUGGGCCCAGUUAGGAUUAGCUAGUUGGUAAGGUAAUGGCUUACCAAGGCGACGAUCCUUAGCUGGUUUGAGAGGAUGAUCAGCCACACUGGGACUGAGACACGGCCCAGACUCCUACGGGAGGCAGCAGUGGGGAAUAUUGCACAAUGGGGGAGACCCUGAUGCAGCCAUGCCGCGUGUGUGAAGAAGGCCUUCGGGUUGUAAAGCACUUUCAGCAGUGAGGAAGGUGGUGUACUUAAUAAGUGCAUGGCUUGACGUAGCUGCAGAAGAGCACCGGCUAACUCCGUGCCAGCAGCCGCGGUAAUACGGAGGGUGCGAGCGUAAUCGGAAUACUGGGCGUAAAGCGCAUGCAGGCGGUUUGUAAGUCAGAUGUGAAAGCCCGGGGCUCACCUCGGAACGCAUUGAAACUGGCAGGCUAGAGUCUGAGAGGGGGGUAGAUUCAGUGUAGCGGUGAAAUGCGUAAGAUCUGA